UACGUAGGGUGCAAGCGUUAAUCGGAAUUACUGGGCGUAAAGGGCGCGUAGGCGGCCAACUAAGUCGGAUGUGAAAUCCCUCAGCUUAACUGGGGAACUGCGUCUGAGACUGGUGGGCUUGAGUGCAGGAGAGGAACGCGGAAUUCCAGGUGUAGCGGUGAAAUGCGUAGAUAUCUGGAGGAACACCGGUGGCGAAGGCGGCGUUCUGGACUGCUACUGACACUGAGGAACGAAAGCCAGGGGAGCAAACGGG
rnacentral:rRNA from 1 species